UACGUAGGUGGCAAGCGUUGUCCGGAAUUAUUGGGCGUAAAGCGCGCGCAGGCGGUCCUUUAAGUCUGAUGUGAAAGCCCACGGCUCAACCGUGGAGGGUCAUUGGAAACUGGGGGGACUUGAGUGCAGGAGAGAAAAGUGGAAUUCCACGUGUAGCGGUGAAAUGCGUAGAGAUGUGGAGGAACACCAGUGGCGAAGGCGACUUUUUGGCCUGUAACUGACGCUGAGGCGCGAAAGCGUGGGGAGCAAACAGG
rnacentral:rRNA from 1 species